GCCGAAAUAGCUCAAUUGGUAGAGCAACUGACUUGUAAUCAGUAGGUUGCGGGUUCAAGUCCUGCUUUCGGCACCA
rnacentral:tRNA from 8 species